GCGUACGUUUUGUUUUCUCCAAAGGUGAAAAAUAAAUGCUUAUGUCCCCAGUUGUCCAUAGCUUUCCCAUGUUAAUUUUGUGGGAAAGCCAGAUGAUAGUCAUAGUAUAGUAUAUUUCUAAAUUUAAGUGUAUUUUUUAAUGGCACUAAAGUAUGUGCAAAACUGCAUCUGAAUACUAUUCAGCCUUAAGAAGGAAUGAAAUUCUGAUACAUGCUAUGCGUUAAACGUGACAUUAUGCUAAGUGAAAUAAGCCAGACACAGAAGGACAAAUAUUUAAUGAUUCUGCUUGUAUGAGGUUUGUAGAACAGUCAAAUUCAUGGAGAUAAAAUGUAGUUCUAUCUCCUGAUCAGAACAGUGUUGCCCCUUCCGCCGUGGCAGCCAUUGAGGAGCGGCAGCCAUGGCUCUGCGCUACCCCAUGGCCGUGGUGGGCCUCAGCACGGGCCACAAGGUGACCAAGAACGUGAGCAAGCCGAGGCACAGCCGCCGCCGCAGACGCCUCACCAAGCACACCAAGUUUGUGCGGGACAUGAUCCGGGAGGUGUGCGGCUUUGCCCUUUAUGAGUGGCGGGCCAUGGAGCUGCUCAAGGUCUCCAAGGACAAGUGGGCCCUCAAGUUCAUCAAGAAGAGGGUGGGGACACACAUCCGUGCCAAGAGGAAGAGAGAGGAGCUGAGCAAUGUCCUGGCCGCCAUGAGGAAGACGGCAGCCAAGAAGGACUGAGCCCUUCCCCUCUAUGCACAAUAAAACUUUUCCAGAAAAAAAAAAAAAAA